rnacentral:lncRNA from 1 species
GACACCGGGCGAAGCCGGUGGCCAGGGUUUCCCUCAGGAGCCCUUCCCGCCUUCGGGGAGCCCGGCCGCCCCGCUCUGGAAAGUGGCUCCGAAGGGGAGAAAGUUUCAUCAGGAGCGGGAAGACUCGGAGCCCAGCAGCAGGGCCAUGCUGAAGGGGGCCCGAUUUGCGUUUUCUGCCGGUAAGGAGAAGCUGCGGGCGUCGAUGGCCCCCGGGAAGCCGCUGGGCCAGAGGAGGUGUCCGCAGAGAGCCGGGCCCGCGUCUGAUGCCACCGGUGGGGAGGAGAGGAAGGGGAUCAACGUGGGGUACGGAGGAAACCCCAGGCCCACGACUGCCAGUGCUGUCUCUGUGUUUUCCCAGGGUCGGCUGUCACCCGGGCUCUGGCGUGGUAGGGAGCGCAGAAUCUUAACCUGGUGCUGAACCCGGGGGUGGGCAGUUAACUGGCCCCAUCAAAGCUGGGCGCUACCUGCUGUCUGGAGAUUCCAGGCAAGGGUAGAAGCGAGGAAGGAAGCCGAAAGCAAGGACCUCCGAGCUCGCGUAGAACACGAUCUGAUCAUGCAGGGCGUGGCCUUGUGAUGCCCAGGAGCUCCCGUUCCCCGGGGACCGGAACGAUGGAUGUUCCGGGAUGCCGCUGCCCCUUCUCACGCUUCCUUCUCCGUGCCCAGCAUCGAGUUAUCCUCUGAAAGCAAGAACCAUCCAGAUCAUUCUCCAAGGACACAGCUUGGAAAACUGGGGGCUCAACCGCACUGUUUCUACUCUUUCACAGGUCUCCUGGAGAGAAAUGUCUGGAGAAAAGUAAACAUGAAUGUGAGGUACACUUUGUGGAGACCUAAGGAAUGCUGCAUUUACUGUGCAUUUAUGGACUACCUACUGUGUGCUGAACUUUAUACCCUUUUCAAAUUCAGUGAGUUCCUCUGA